UCAGUCUCUUUUCCUCUCUUAUUCUCGCCAUCUCUGACCUCUACAACCAUCCAGUUAUCAUCAGGAUAUAUACAUUAUUUAGCCAAUGUCUCUGUUUAUCUCUACAUAUGUCUUUCUGCAGAGCGGCUGUCUUUCUAUGUCAGGUAUUUUCUUUGUCUGUUUCUGUCUGCCUGCCUGUCUGUCAGCCUGCCUGUCUUCUUUCCAUCUCUCUUUCCGUCUCCUGUCCUUCCUUUUGUCCCUUCUGCCCCUCCUAGACCGUAGCGUGCACACACACACACACACACACACACACACACAUACACAUGGUUUUGAUAACUAGGGAGGGCAGGGAGUGAGAGCAAAAGGGAAACAGAAAAAGAAUAACAGUCAGUGUUGCCAGUAAGUUUUACAACAGAACUAUGACUCUCUGUUCUGGAAUCUGUUCCUCUUCUGUUACACAACAACCGAGAAAUAAAGGAAUGAGGGAGGGAGGUGGUUUCUCCUUCCCCUCUAUUUGUCUCUCUUUCUCUCUCCUUGGUAUGGGUCUCCCUGUCUGUCUCUGUCUGUAUAAAGGUUCUGGGACAGGGGCCGCCGACCAGGAUCUGAGAGCGCUGAGCAGUGAGGGACAGAGGGGGUAGGUGUGUCACCAACAGGCUGCAUUUGGAUUCUAGAAGCCUUGUUGUCAUAGGAGACUCGACUGGGGGAGGAGCUUAAGAGAUUGUAUAUAAAAGAGGCCCUAUAACUUCAAACUGCCUGGUCACCCGUUAAACUAAAGCUCAGGACAGUAACUUCUGCUGAUACCACUGAACCAACUAACGUGUCACUGUCUCUACUGCCAGAUUGCCUCCAUGGGUUACUGUCUCUACUACCAGACUGCCUCCGCGUGUUACUGUCUCUACUACCAGACUGCCUCCGUGUGUUACUGUCUCUACUGCCAGACUGCCUCAGCGUGUUACUGUCUCUACUACCAGACUGCCUCCGUGUGUUACUGUCUCUACUACCAGACUGCCUCCGCGUGUUACUGUCUCUACUACCAGACUGCCUCCGUGUGUUACUGUCUCUACUGCCAGACUGCCUCAGCGUGUUACUGUCUCUACUGCCAGACUGCCUCAGCGUGUUACUGUCUCUACUGCCAGACUGCCUCCGUGUGUUACUGUCUCUACUGCCAGACUGCCUCAGCGUGUUACUGUCUCUACUGCCAGACUGCCUCCGUGUGUUACUGUCUCUACGGCCAGACUGCCUCAGCGUGUUACUGUCUCUACCGCCAGAUGGCCUCCAUGCACGUGUGUAUUUUACCUCCUGACCUCAACCAAAGCAUCAGUUCAUCUUUAUUUCUGCUGCCAGCUUCUUCAUCAUCCUCAACAUUUUGUGAGAAGAGGCUGUCGGAUUGGGAUUUUCCUUGUCUCCUCCAGGAAGGUGGAUUAAAUGGGAUCAGUGCUCUGCAUUAGUGUUGUGUGUCAGAAGAUGGGUGUGAGGCGAGGGCAGAGGGCGGGCCACGAGACCGCUGUAUGAGGUCAUCGGCUGGCGUCCAUGUUUUUUAAGGGGCCUAAAGCGGUCAAAGCUGCUGGCAGGCAUAGCUCUGUGGUUUGGCCAUCCUCAUAGUAAGAGUUUAUGUGCUGCGUUCUCAAUCAGCAUGUGACCUCUUACAGUACAGGGAUGAGAGGACGCUCCUUCCCUCUCCAUCUCUCUGUCCCUUCAUCUGUCCUGUGUCACCGCUGUGAAUACGCAGCGUCGCCGAAGCCCCACGUAAGAAACUGACAAAAUAUCUGCAACACACAUCGGCCACCGAAAUCAACAGUCUUUUGAUGAGUCUGUUGCGCCGUGCUUUACUCCCCCUUCCUCUUUACUCCCCCUUCCUCUUUACUCCCCCUUCCUCUUUACUCCCCCUUCCUCUUUACUCCCCCUUCCUCUUUACUCCCCCUUCCUCUAUCAACAGUGAGGUUCUCUAUCUUCCUAUGGCAUAAGAGAUGUGUGACUCUUUCUACCUGAGACACUGUGUAUCUAAGGGCUACAGGCUCCACACAGCUCCAACACAGCUCCAACAUGCUCCACACAGCUCCCACACACUCCACACAGCUCCAACACGCU